CGGCCGCGUCGACACACCAGUGGCGAAGGCGCUCUACUGGCCGACAACUGACGCUGAGGGACGAAAGGACUAAGGGAGGCGAAGUAGGAGUUAGUAGUACCCUACGUAGUCCUACGCCGUAACCGAAUGGAGUACUAGGUGUUGUUCUGUAUCGACCGGACCGACGUGCCGUAGCUAACGCGUUAAGUAUCCCGCCUCGGGAGGUACGCGACGCAAGUAGUGAAACUCAAAGGAAUUGAACGGGGCCCGCACGAACGCGGUGGAAGUAGUGUGGUUUAAAUUCGAUUGCAACGCGAAGAACCUUACCAGGACUUGACAAGUCUGGGAGCAAG
rnacentral:rRNA from 1 species